rnacentral:ncRNA from 2 species
UGCACUGAGGAGCGCUGCGACUGUCGCCGGUUUGAUCCGCAACGACAGCCAGGCUCAGCGCAGGCGAUGAUUCAACUGCGCUCGUUGACU